CCCAUAGAGAGCCAUAGAGACCUCAUAGGGACCCCAUAGAGACACAUAGGGACCCAUAGAGUACAUAGAGACCCAUAGAGACCCCAUAGAGACACGGCACUGCGGGGGGCACAGCGGGUAUGGGGGGGCUGCGGGACAAUAGGGUGCAUAGAGACCCCAUAGAGAGCCCAGAAAGACCCCAUAGAGAGCACAUAGAGAGCCCAUAGGGACCCCAUACGGACCCAUAGAGAGCCCAUAGAGAGCCAUAGAGAGCCCAUAGAGAGCCAUAGAGAACCAAUAGGGACCCAUAGAGAGCCAUAGAGAGCCCAUAGAGACCUCAUAGGGACCCCAUAGGGACCCAUAGAGAGCCAUAGAGAGCCCAUAGAGAGCCAUAGAGAACCAAUAGGGACCCAUAGAGAGCCAUAGAGAGCCCAUAGAGACCUCAUAGGGACCCCAUAGGGACCCAUAGAGAGCCCAUAGAGAGCCAUAGAGAGCCAUAGAGAGCCCAUAGAGAACCAAUAGGGACCCAUAGAGAGACAUAGAGACCCAUAGAGAGCCAUAGAGAGCCAUAGAGAGCCCAUAGAGAACCAAUAGGGACCCAUAGAGAGACAUAGAGAGCCAUAGAGACCUCAUAGGGAGCCCAUAGGGACCCAUAGAGAACCCAUAGGGACCCCAUAGGGACCCAUAGAGAGCCCAUAGGGACCCAUAGAGAACCCAUAGGGACCCCAUAGGGACCCAUAGAGAGCCCAUAGGGACCCAUAGAGAGCCCAUAGGGACCCAUAGAGAGCCCAUAGAGAGCCCAUAGGGACCCAUAGAGAGCCCAUAGGGACCCAUAGAGAACCAAUAGGGACCCAUAGAGAGCCAUAGAGACCUCAUAGGGACCCCAUAGAGACCCAUAGAGACCCAUAGAGACCCCAUAGAGAGCCCAUAGGGACCCAUAGAGAACCAAUAGGGACCCAUAGAGAGCCAUAGAGACCUCAUAGGGACCCCAUAGAGAGCCAUAGAGACCCAUACGGACCCCAUAGAGAGCACAUAGAGAGCCAUAGAGACCUCAUAGGGAGCCCAUAGGGACCCAUAGAGAACCCAUAGGGACCCCAUAGGGACCCAUAGAGAGCCCAUAGGGACCCAUAGAGAACCCAUAGGGACCCCAUAGGGACCCAUAGAGAGCCCAUAGGGACCCAUAGAGAGCCCAUAGGGAGCCCAUAGGGACCCAUAGAGAGCCCAUAGGGACCCAUAGAGAACCCAUAGGGAGCCCAUAGGGACCCAUAGAGAGCCCAUAGAGAGCCCAUAGAGAGCCCAUAGGGACCCAUAGAGAGCCCAUAGGGACCCAUAGAGAACC
ensembl:lncRNA